CACCACCACUCACAGAGGCCCUCAGCCAAAACAGUGGGCGCCCUGUGGCUGAAGGCAUCUCUGCAGGGACAUCCUCUGAGUCAAUAACCCCGCAAGACACAAGUGCCUACAUAAGAGUUGAUGGUGAUGGUGUACUGCAUCUGGUGCAGCCUCCUGUUGAGCCAGACCAACAUGCAGUUGAAAAUAAUGAAGAAACAUUGACAGCUGUUACAGAGGAGGAAGCAACAGAGACACUUUAUGAGAGUGAUGAUGGAAAUGCAGAGGAAGAGGGUCCAGCCACUUCUCCAACAAACCUUUCCUCACUCCCUGUAAAGCAGCUGUACAAGACCUAUUUGAUCAAGAAAAUAAAAAAAAUGCGACUUGGAAAUGGAACACUUCAAACAGCAGAUCCAAAAGACCAAGACUGAGAUUUUACUGCUGGAACAUCAGUUAAGGGUGGGUGAAGUGGUCAGAGAUGGACGAAUUAUUUCAGUGUUUGAACAACAUAAUAAUAUACUUAUUAAUACUUUGUGUACAGGAAACACAGGCGACCAAUAA